CUUCGGGCCCCGUGCGACGGACGAGGCCGUGAACCCCGCCAGGCCCGGAAGGGAGCAACGGUAGCGGUCGCGGACGGGUGCAGCGGGUGUCCCGAAGCCU
rnacentral:SRP_RNA from 1 species